GGAGCUGAUAUCAGGCACGCCCAAAACAUCUAGCCACGCCACACCCAUACGGGCCUUCAGCAGUGAUUAACAUUAAAAAUAAACGUCAGUUUGAUUUAGUCAAAUUAAUAAAGAGCCGGCCAAUCUGGUGCCAGCCGCCGCGGUUACACCAUGUGGCUCAAAUUGAUUCGGCGUAAAGCGUGAUUAAAGUGGGGUCAAAAUUAAAUUAAGCUGUCGCACGAUUAUUCUUAAUGAAGCUCUAACUCGAAAGAUACCCCAACCUACCAACUUGAAUUCACUACAAUUAGGACACAAACUGGGAUUAGAUACCCCACUAUGCCUAGUCGCAAACUUUAACUUACAUCGCCAGGGAACUACGAGCAAAGCUUAAAACCCAAAGGACUUGACGGUGCCCCAUAUCCUUCUAGAGGAGCCUGUCCUAUAAUCGAUAACCCCCGUUUCACCUCACCAUUAUUAGCAGCCUGUAUACUUCCGUCGUCAGCUUACCGCGUGAGCGAGUAAACCCAAUGUCAAUACGUCAGGUCAAAGUGCAGCAUAUAUAGUGGUAAGAGAUGGGCUACACUCUCUAUCUUAGAAAACACGAAAGAUUAUGUGAAACAAAAGGCGGAUUUAGUAGUAAGAGGGGGUUAGAGCACCCCUCUAAACUUGGCACUGGGGUGUGUACACACCGCCCGUCACCCUCUUC
rnacentral:rRNA from 1 species